rnacentral:rRNA from 1 species
CCCUUAGAUGUUCUGGGCCGCACGCGCGCUACACUGAUGCAUUCAACAAGCCUAGCCUUGACCGAGAGGUCCGGGUAAUCUUUGAAACUGCAUCGUGAUGGGGCUAGAUUAUUGCAAUUAUUAAUCUUCAACGAGGAAUGCCUAGUAAGCGUGAUUCAUCAAAUCGCGUUGAUUACGUCCCUGCCCUUUGUACACACCGCCCGUCGCUCCUACCGAUUGAAUGUGUUGGUGAGGAGCUCGGAUUGGCAGCAGUGGGUGGUUCGCCACCGGCUAUUGCUGAGAAGUCCUCCAAACCGCCCCAUUUAGAGGAAGGAGAAGUCGUAACA